rnacentral:tRNA from 1 species
GCCGCAGUAGCUCAGUUGGUAGAGCACGUCAUUCGUAAUGAUGGGGUCGGGAGUUCGAUUCUCUUCUGCGGCACCA